rnacentral:rRNA from 1 species
GGCAGGCCUAACACAUGCAAGUCGAGCGCGCCCUUCGGGGUGAGCGGCGGACGGGUUAGUAACGCGUGGGAAUAUGCCCAAAGGUAGGGAAUAGCCUCUGGAAACGGAGAGUAAUACCCUAUGUGCCCUUCGGGGGAAAGAUUUAUCGCCUUUGGAUUAGCCCGCGUUAGAUUAGGUAGUUGGUGGGGUAAUGGCCUACCAAGCCUACGAUCUAUAGCUGGUUUUAGAGGAUGAUCAGCAACACUGGGACUGAGACACGGCCCAGACUCCUACGGGAGGCAGCAGUGGGGAAUCUUGGACAAUGGGCGCAAGCCUGAUCCAGCCAUGCCGCGUGAGUGAUGAAGGCCUUAGGGUCGUAAAGCUCUUUCGCCAGGGAUGAUAAUGACAGUACCUGGUAAAGAAACCCCGGCUAACUCCGUGCCAGCAGCCGCGGUAAUACGGAGGGGGUUAGCGUUGUUCGGAAUUACUGGGCGUAAAGCG